rnacentral:rRNA from 1 species
CAAUAGCGUAUAUUAAAGUUGUUGCAGUUAAAAAGCUCGUAGUUGGAUUUCUGGUUGAAGCGACCGGUCGGGCGUUGAUUCGUCUGCACUGGAGUCGGUUUUGGCCAUCCUCUAGGAAAGUGCGUCUGGUAUUAAGUUAUCGGGCGUAUGAUCCUGGUCUUUUACUGUGAAAAAAUUAGAGUGUUUAAAGCAGGCCUUCGCCUUGAAUACAUUAGCAUGGAAUAAUAAGAUAGGACUUUGGUCUAUUUUGUUGGUUUGCAGACCGAAGUAAUGAUUAAUAGGGAUAGUUGGGGGUAUUUAUAUUCCGAUGUCAGAGGUGAAAUUCUUAGAUUUUCGGAAGAUAAACUUAUGCGAAAGCAUUUACCCAGGAUGUUUUCAUUAA